CUACGUGCCAGCAGCCGCGGUAAUACGGAAGGUCCGGGCGUUAUCCGGAUUUAUUGGGUUUAAAGGGAGCGUAGGCUGGAGAUUAAGUGUGUUGUGAAAUGUAGACGCUCAACGUCUGACUUGCAGCGCAUACUGGUUUCCUUGAGUACGCACAACGUUGGCGGAAUUCGUCGUGUAGCGGUGAAAUGCUUAGAUAUGACGAAGAACUCCGAUUGCGAAGGCAGCUGACGGGAGCGCCACUGACGCUUAAGCUCGAAGGUGCGGGUAUCGAACAGGAUUAGAUACCCUGGUAGUCCGCACAGUAAACGAUGGAUGCCCGCUGUUGGUACCUGGUAUCAGCGGCUAAGCGAAAGCAUUAAGCAUCCCACCUGGGGAGUACGCCGGCAACGGUGAAACUCAAAGGAAUUGACGGGGGCCCGCACAAGCGGAGGAACAUGUGGUUUAAUUCGAUGAUACGCGAGGAACCUUACCCGGGCUUGAA
rnacentral:rRNA from 1 species